UGAGGGUUCUAUCCCUCUCCAGAGUGUAAUGGGGAUUUUAGAAAUUAAACAGCAAACAAAGGCUAACCCAGUCACAUCAAAGAGCUAAGAGCUAACCUAACACAUCAAAAGCUAACCCAGUCACAUCAAAGAGCUAAGAGCUAACCUAACACAUCAAAAGCUAACCCAGUCACAUCAAAGAGCUAAGAGCUAACCUAACACAUCAAAAGCUAACCCAGUCACAUCAAAGAGCUAAGAGCUAACCUAACACAUCAAAAGCUAACCCAGUCACAUCAAAGAGCUAAGAGCUAACCUAACACAUCAAAAGCUAACCCAGUCACAUCAAAGAGCUAAGAGCUAACCUAACACAUCAAAAGCUAACCCAGUCACAUCAAAGAGCUAAGAGCUAACCUAACACAUCAAAAGCUAACCCAGUCACAUCAAAGAGCUAAGAGCUAACCUAACACAUCAAAAGCUAACCCAGUCACAUCAAAGAGCUAAGAGCUAACCUAACACAUCAAAAGCUAACCCAGUCACAUCAAAGAGCUAAGAGCUAACCUAACACAUCAAAAGCUAACCCAGUCACAUCAAAGAGCUAAGAGCUAACCUAACACAUCAAAAGCUAACCCAGUCACAUCAAAGAGCUAAGAGCUAACCUAACACAUCAAAAGCUAACCCAGUCACAUCAAAGAGCUAAGAGCUAACCUAACACAUCAAAAGCUAACCCAGUCACAUCAAAGAGCUAAGAGCUAACCUAACACAUCAAAAGCUAACCCAGUCACAUCAAAGAGCUAAGAGCUAACCUAACACAUCAAAAGCUAACCCAGUCACAUCAAAGAGCUAAGAGCUAACCUAACACAUCAAAAGCUAACCCAGUCACAUCAAAGAGCUAAGAGCUAACCUAACACAUCAAAAGCUAACCCAGUCACAUCAAAGAGCUAAGAGCUAACCUAACACAUCAAAAGCUAACCCAGUCACAUCAAAGAGCUAAGAGCUAACCUAACACAUCAAAAGCUAACCCAGUCACAUCAAAGAGCUAAGAGCUAACCUAACACAUCAAAAGCUAACCCAGUCACAUCAAAGAGCUAAGAGCUAACCUAACACAUCAAAAGCUAACCCAGUCACAUCAAAGAGCUAAGAGCUAACCUAACACAUCAAAAGCUAACCCAGUCACCUCAAACUCUGAAAUGACAGCUAACAUUCCCUCUUCAUUUGUUUUAGCUGUUUUCCAUUGACAUUUAUAUCCAUAUGAUGGUGCUGUAUGACUUCACCUGUUCAGAAAAAUGGCGAGCUGAAGUCUGACACAUUAAAUCUUUCCCUUGCCAUAGAGAGUUAAUUCAUAUUUUGCAACAUUGUUGCCAAGGUCUGAGUGGCAAACAGCUAUAUAGUAGAUAAAUAAAGUUGAAACGUUAUUAGAAUGAGCAUGUUUGUAAGCUAGCUAGCUAAACAGAAAAAGCUAGACUACUUUAAUUUGCCACUUCACAAGCUAGCUUUCUCUUUCUAAUAAACCAUUUUUUAUUAUGGGAUAUGCCAAAUAGAGCUACAGACCCAGUCUGACAUUAGUAAUUAGCUAAUUCUCUCUUUCAUUUCAGAGUCAAUUGAGGGGACUAUGUUCAUUAAAACCAUUAGAAGACUGAUUCUGAAUGAGAAGAGUCAAGCAGGUAGUCCAGUGCCUAAGGAGUUGGGCUCGUGGCCGAAAGGUGGCAUGGUCUAAUCCCGGGUCGGGCGUUAAGAGAAAAGAAAAAUGGCAGAAUUGAUCCUGAACAUAUCCUCAAAACAUUCCCUUAUGUUAGGCCCUUGAGCAAGGCCCUUAACCCCACAACAUGCUCUCCAUCAAGGGGCGAUACAUGCAGCUUGAACCUGUGGUUGUCUCAACUAUAUGUGUGAUGUCUGCUGUUUGGUGGUGGUUGAGAAUGGAGCAGAAGACACCUUUUUGUUGAACACUAACUAAUGGACAAAGUAUUGUACUUCAUAUUUUCUAACUAUGUUCACAUUGAAUGCAAAUCAUUCUAAAAACUA